rnacentral:lncRNA from 1 species
CUUCCACUUGGUUUUCUCUCUUCUGAGCUUUCAAGCUGAGCAGAAGGAACGAUUUUUUCCAGACAAGUGGCAAAAAAUUUCAGAAGAUACGAAGUUCGUUCCUUUUCGUGGUUCUUCAGGUACUACAGUUCUUGUUCUUGUUUAUUAGAUAAGUCUGGAAUUCUGGGUUUUGAUCGUUGCCUCAAUUUGGCACGUGGGCAUGUUUGGAAUUUUUCGUAAGUUAACUGAUGAUGAGUCUUCUGGUUUUGAAAAUGCAAAACAUAUGCUAAUUGUAAUAGGGUUCUAUUUGGUUAGUUGCUUUUAUUUACUUGUCAUGAUUGAAUUUCUCAAUUCUCAUAUUUGCAGCUCAGAUAUCUUGUCUGGCAUUUGGAUGCAGUUUGCUGAAUCUGGCUAAGGUAACGGACACUUAGAAGAUAGGGUUUUUCUGUGUACUGAGAUAUUGCAGUCAACUAUGAUUUCCUAAUGAAGUAAUGAUGGAUUUGAUCUAAAUCCAGUGACAUAGUGCAAAGGAGUUGGGGAAAAAACUGUGAUGC